rnacentral:lncRNA from 1 species
GAGGACCGUGCAUUUUAUUACCUCUCUUUCCCCCUUGAUUUUCUUGGGUGCGCUUUGCCCUGUGUGAGAGUUUAUCUGCUCGAGUUAUUGAUUUUCUGCCAGAAGUGUCUUUAAGGUCUACUAAUAUACUCACUGUGUUGGUUUGAGUCUUUGGUUUUAGGUUUAAGUUUUUGGUCUUCAUCUUUUGUUUUGAUUUUGAUUUGAAGUUCUUGUAAAUAAAUUCCUUUUGUCUUUUUUUGUUCGAAAUCUAGAA